UACGAAGGGAGCUAGCGUUGUUCGGAAUCACUGGGCGUAAAGCGCACGUAGGCGGAUGUGUCAGUCAGGGGUGAAAUCCCGGAGCUCAACUUCGGAACUGCCUUUGAUACAGCACGUCUUGAGUCCGAUAGAGGUGGGUGGAAUUCCUAGUGUAGAGGUGAAAUUCGUAGAUAUCAGGAGGAACACCGGUGGCGAAGGCGGUUCUCUGGGCCUUACCUGACGCUGAUGCACGAAAGCUAGGGGAGCAAACGGG
rnacentral:rRNA from 1 species